rnacentral:rRNA from 1 species
GACGCACCGAGCGAACGUUGUUCGGAAUCACUGGGCUUAAAGGGCGCGUAGGCGGGUGCUCAAGUCUGUGGUGAAAUCCUCCGGCUCAACCGGAGAACUGCCAUGGAUACUGGGUGUCUCGAGGGUGGUAGGGGUAUGCGGAACUAUCGGUGGAGCGGUGAAAUGCGUUGAUAUCGAUAGGAACUCCGGUGGCGAAGGCGGCAUACUGGACCACUUCUGACGCUGAGGCGCGAAAGCCAGGGGAGCAAACGGG